UGGCGUGUCGUUCAGCUCGUGCCGUGAGGUGUCGGGUUAAGUCCCAUAACGAGCGCAACCCCUACCCUUUAGUUGCCAUCAGGUUAAGCUGGGGACGUCUAAAGGAACUGCCUACGCAAGUAGUGAGGAAGGCGGGGAUGACGUCAAAUCAGCACGGCCCUUACGUCCAGGGCUACACACGUGCUACAAUGGCCGAUACAGAGGGCAGCUACCUGGUGACAGGAUGCAAAUCUCCAAAGUCGGUCUCAGUUCGGAUCGGAGUCUGCAACCCGACUCCGUGAAGUUGGAUUCGCUAGUAAUCGCGCAUCAGCCAUGGCGCGGUGAAUACGUUCCCGGGCCUU
rnacentral:rRNA from 1 species